rnacentral:rRNA from 1 species
UUGGAGGGCAAGUCUGGUGCCUGCAGCCGCGGUAAUUCCAGCUCCAAUAGCGUAUAUUAAAGUUGUUGCAGUUAAAAAGCUCGUAGUUGAAUUUCGGGAUCAAUUUAUUGGUCGUGCUAUUGUACGUACUGGUAUUAUUGAUUCCUACCUUCUGACGAACCAUGAUGUCAUUAAUUUGGUGUCAUGGGAAAUCAGGACUGUUACUUUGAAAAAAUUAGAGUGUUUAAAGCAGGCUCACGCUUGAAUACAUUAGCAUGGAAUAACGAAAUAGGACGUUUGAUUCUAUUUUGUUGGUUUCUAGGAUCGACGUAAUGAUUAGUAGGGAUAGUUGGGGGCAUUAGUAUUCAAUUGUCAGAGGUGAAAUUCUUGGAUUUAUUGAAGACUAACUACUGCGAAAGCAUUUGCCAAGGAUGUUUUCAUUAAUCAAGAACGAAAGUUAGGGGAUCGAAGACGAUCAGAUACCGUCGUAGUCUUAACCAUAAACUAUGCCGACUAGGGAUCGGAUGAUGUUAAUUUUUUAAUGACUCAUUCGGCGCCUUACGGGAAACCAAAGUGUUUGGGUUC